rnacentral:rRNA from 1 species
CCUACGGGAGGCAGCAGUAGGGAAUAUUGCUCAAUGGGGGAAACCCUGAAGCAGCAACGCCGCGUGGAGGAUGAAGGUUUUCGGAUUGUAAACCCCUUUUGUUAGAGAAGAAAAUGACGGUAUCUAACGAAUAAGCACCGGCUAACUCCGUGCCAGCAGCCGCGGUAAUACGGAGGGUGCAAGCGUUAUUCGGAAUCACUGGGCGUAAAGAGCGCGUAGGCGGGAUAGCAAGUCAGAUGUGAAAUCCUAUGGCUUAACCAUAGAACUGCAUUUGAAACUGUUAUUCUAGAGUAUGGGAGAGGUAGGUGGAAUUCUUGGUGUAGAGGUAAAAUCCGUAGAGAUCAAGAGGAACACUCAUUGCGAAGGCGACCUACUAGAACAUAACUGACGCUGAUGCGCGAAAGCGUGGGGAGCAAACAGGAUUAGAUACCCGGGUAGUC